rnacentral:rRNA from 1 species
GUGGGGAAUUUUGCACAAUGGGGGAAACCCUGAUGCAGCGACGCCGCGUGAUUUAGAAGGCCUUCGGGUUGUAAAAAUCUUUUUUAUGGGAUGAAAAUGACAGUACCAUAAGAAUAAGGUCCGGCUAAAUACGUGCCAGCAGCCGCGGUAAUACGUAUGGACCGAGCGUUGUCCGGAAUCAUUGGGCGUAAAGGGUACGUAGGCGGCCUAGUAAGUUAGAAGUGAAAUAAUAUAGCUCAACUAUAUAAAGCUUUUAAAACUGUUAGGCUUGAGAGAUGAAAGGGAAAGUGGAAUUCCUAGUGUAGCGGUGAAAUGCGCAGAUAUUAGGAAGAAUACCGGUGGCGAAGGCGACUUUCUGGUCAUCAUCUGACGCUGAGGUACGAAAGCGUGGGUAGCAAACAGG